rnacentral:lncRNA from 1 species
AAACCACUCUAGUUCCUGAGGGGCACCUGGCAGGAUUACAAAUAAUAAGAGUUUUAAAAAUCAAGAAACACUAUUCAUUGUAACGUGGGAAAAUAAUGUUGCAUCACUCAAGACUAUCAUUCAAAACUGCCUAAUAAAAUAGGCACCCAUGGGUAAAGUCUUUGCCACCAAGCUGACAACUUGAGUUCUCCAGGACCUACAUGGUAGCAGGAGAGGAUCAACUUUUACAAGUUGUUCUCUGGCCUGCACAGAAGUACCAUGGCACACAUUAUACUUCCUCACAAAUAAAUUGGCUUCUCCUACGCAAAAGCAGAGUUCAGUCUCCUAGAAACACAUCAGUUAAAACUCCAGAAUAUCUGACACCCUCUUCUACAUGGGUGGCAAAACACACCUAUGCAUAUACACAAAUGAAAAUUGAUCAUUAAAAGAAGUACAUAUAGAAUGCUAAGUUUAG